CCAUGGACUGGUAUUGGUCCAUGGCCUGGGUGUUGGGGAUCCCUGGUCUAGGUUUCCGGGUGGGUGAGGUUGCUUUAGGGGAGAAGAAAAAGAAAGAAAAGGGUUUAGGCUGGACCCAUCAGUUAAGGGAGGAAAGAAGAGAUGACUGGGGAUGGGACUGAGGAGGAGCAGCCAGAGCAGUAAGAUGUGCAGCAGACCAGUGUCACUGAGGCCAAGGGAAGAUGGGCUUGGGAGGGCGAGGGAGAGGAAUGCAGGCUCAAAGCUGGCCCCAGGAGAGUUUAAUGGAACCCUCCAUUAAACCAUGUCUGGCAGCAAACUUGCUUCCUCCUCUUCCUCUUCCUUCUCCUCCCUGUCCCAGCCUCGACCUAUGGCCUCAGAAACCUCAGCAGCUGGCAGGUGUCCAGUGAGAGCAAUAGCUGGACGAGCUAUGUCUGGAAUUUCUAAUGACUCCUGAGAUUUCCCUUGCUCCUGUCAGCCUCCAGCCUCGAUGUGCCUGCUGCCUCCUCUUGAGGUUAUGCUGCUCUUUCAGCCCCAGCCAUGACCCCAGGACUCUCCAACCCCUUUCCUGAGGCCCAGGAGUUUCAUGUUGUUCCUGUCUGCUCUGUCAGUCCAGCAGCCAUGGCUGGCUCAUGUCCUAAAUAGGGGCACUGCUUCCAGGAGUUUUCCCUUUCACAUUCCCACCACAUUCCAGCUGCUCAACCAAGUGUUAAUUCACAAAUUCAUGAUCCAGGAAUUUCUGCCCUGGCAUCUCUUCCUCAGGGCUUGAAUUCCUCGCCUGCCUCCAUGUACAUUGAUGGGAAAUGUGGGCUUUAAAUGGGGAGUUCAGCAUGGACCCCACACUGGAAAAGAAAACUUACCAGUUUAUAGACUCUAGAGAAGAAUGUUUAAGAUAUAUCAAUACUACUGUAGGUGCUGAAGGGUUUUGAUUUGCCUCAAGCAGAUUAAAUGGAAAUGAAAGAAAUUGAGACUGGACUGUGUACUGUGAGAUGAAUGCCCAACACAAUGAAGAUCACCACCUCAGCAACACAGUUGCGGAGGCUAGAAGUCCAAGAUCACGACGACAGCAGGAUUGAUUGCUUCUGAGGGCCAUGAGAGAUAGAUUGUUCCAGGCCUAUUUCCUUGGCUUGUAGAUGGUGGUCUUCUUCUUGUGUCUUUAUAUCGUGUCUGUGUCUAAAUGUCCUCUUAUAAGAACACCAGCAAUAUUAGAUUAGGGCCCACCCCAGUAACCCCAUUUUAACUCAAUUACCUUCUUAAAGACCUUGCUCCAAACAAGGUUACAUUCUGAGGUAUUGGGUAUUAGGACUUCAAAAUAUGAAUUUGAGAAGGGAACACAAUUCAGCUUAUAACAGGGAAGAAAACAAAAUAUAAUCCAGUCUCUUCUCUGUUUCAGAUUUAUUCCCUGUUUCCCUUUGAGAUAGUGGCUUCUGAGCACUUAGGGAGUUGGGGCCUUACACCUUUGUAGUGAUGAAGGGAGAUGGGAUCUCGGCUUCACCUCUCGUUCCUAUGUCUACUCCUCUGCCAUUUUUUCCCCAUUUGUUUAUGAAGAAACCAGAUCAUUUAUCCUAUAAAAAUUCUCAAAUUCUGGACCUAGCAAAUUGUAUCCCCGUGUUGUUAUUUAACAUGUUCUUCUGUGCCUUGUAUUUCCUAAAAACUGGUAGUUAAAUCUGGAGGUUUGAUCAGAUUCAGGUUUAUUUAUUUAUUUAUUUUUGGCAAGAAUUCAUAAGUGGUAGUGUGUGCUUCCUUUCGUUAGGCAAAAUAAUUCUUGUCACUUAACAUGAUGACACCAACUUACGAAGCAAGCAGACCUGGAGGGGUGGGCCUCUAUCACCUGAAAGAAAUAUUUUUGCAUAGGUAUGUGGGCACUUUAAGUUGUUCACUGCUUUGGAUUAUACAGUUCUUAACAAGUACAUACAGGGUGGCUGCAAGCUACUUGUAUUAAGCAGACACCACUUAGCUAUGUAUAACAAAGUCCAUCUGCUUUUGGGUGCAGAAUUCUAUUGUCUUGUUGCCACCAGCGUAGCUGCU